UGACGCCCGGGAAGUGAGCACGCGCGGCGGGCCAGGAAGUGGUGCACAUGCCCUUCGGAGGCUUCCUUCCCUUUUCCGGUGGUGUCCCGGGAAGGUCAUGCUGCGCCAUUUUGUCUCUAAAUGCGCAUGCCCAGCCUCACUUGCCCAAUACCUGCGAUUUUGUUGGAAGCCCUUUUUAUCUCUUUGGGAAGUUGCUUCUUCCUGGUGCCUGCAUUAGUGUGACGGCUGUGGAUCAUCAGGAGAUUGUCUCUCCCUCGCUACGGCUGCUCUUUGUCAUUUUUAGAGGGGCAGUGUGGUAACUGUGAACAAACAUGACUGUGGUUGCCUGACAUUCCUGGCAGGUGGGGGAGAGCCCUUUCCUGUCCCGCUUAUGUCUGACUGCCUGUACCACGUGGGCUCGGACAAGGAGAUCACAGGGUCUGCCUCUCGCCCUCUUCUUGCCGCUGCAAUGGCUUUGCUCUCUGCAGCCUUGCUCCACGUUGGGGAGAGACCACCACCCAGGGCACAGCCUUGUAGGACCCCAAGCUCCACACACCAGAAAGAAAGCUCUCUCCAAAAGAGUCUUCCUUGGAUCUCGCUUGUCAUAUCCACAGUGGAGAAAGUGGAGCCACAAACCUAUGUGGUGACGGCUCUGGAUGGCAUUGAAGGGGCUCCCCAAAAGGAAGGACGAACAUGCACUCUUUAGACACCACAUCUAAUGUCCCUCAACCUCAGUUACCCAGUCUGCAAAACACACAAGGAAUCUAAUAUUAUCACAGUACAUGAGUAUUAACGGAGAAACUGUACACACAGUUCUUGCCCCUUGGCCUGCACAAAAUGGGCCUUCAACAAAUAACAGAUUUUUUUUUUAAAGACUAUUUUUUUUUUUUUUUUUUUGAGAUGGUGUCUUGCUCUGUCACCCACUCUGGAGUGCAGUGGCACAAUCUCGGGUUCCCGGGUUCAAGUGAUUUUCCUGCCUCAGCCUCCUGGGUAGCUGGGAUUACAGGCACGUACCACCACACUUAGCUAAUUUUUUUGUAUUUUUAGUAGAAAUGAGGUUUCAUCAUGUUGGCCAGGCUGGUCUCCAACUCCUGAGCCCACGUGAUCCGUCUGCCUCGGCCUCCCAAAGUGCUGGGAUUAUAGUCGUGAACCACUGCUCCCAGCCAAGACUAUUUUUUUUUUUAGGAAUAGUUUUAGAUUCGCAGCAAAAUUGAGCAGAAGGUAGGAAGAAUUCCCAUCUACUUCCUGCCCUCACACAGACACAGUCUGGCCAGCUAUCUGCAUCCCCUACCAGAGGGGUACAUUUGUUACAGUCAGUGAGCCUCCAGCAACACUUCAUUCUCUCCCAAAGCCCCUAGUCUACAUUAGGGCUCAUUCUUGUCAUUUUUAGAGGGGCAGUGUGGUAACGGUGCUGUACAUUCUGUGGGUUUGGAUAAGUAGAUAAUGGCGGGAAUCCAUCUUUUUAGUAUUACACAGGGUAUUUUCACCUCCAGAAAAAUUGUGUGUGCUCUGCUGAUUCAUUCCUUCCCUCGAAAGCCCUGGCACCCACUUUUUACUGUCAUCAUAGGUUUGCCUUUUCCAGAAUGUCAUGCAGUUGGAUCAUGUAGUUUGUAGUCUUUGGGGAUUGGCUUAUUUCCCUUAGGAAUAUGCAUUGAAAUUUCCCUCGUGUCUUUUCGUGAACUGAUAGCUCAUUUCUUUUCAGUGCUGAAAACUGUUUUAAGGUCUGGAUGUAUUACAGUUUGUCUGUUCACCAAUUGAAGGACAUCUUGGUUGCUUCCAAUUUUUGGCAAUUACGUACAAAGCCGAUUUAAACAUCCCUAUGUAGGCUUUUGUGUGGACAUAAAUUUUGAAUUUCUUUGGGUAAAUACGAAGGAGUGGAACUGCUGAAUUGGAUGGGAAGAGUAUGUUUCGUUUUGUAAGAAACUCGCUAGACUGCGGUGGAUGGGUUCUUUCGCCCUACAUCCUCAUGUUGUCGGCGUUUUGGGUUUUGGCUGUUUAGUACGUGUGUAAACUGUGUCGCUGUUGUUCUGAUUUGCAUUUCCCUGAUGACGUGAUGCUGAACAUCUUUUCAUAUGCUUAUUAGCCAUCUGUGUAUCUCCUCUAGCGAGGUAUUUGUUAAGGUCCUUGCCCCAUUUUUUAAAAUGAGUUGUUUGUAUUCUUAUUGUUGAGUUUUUAAAGUUUUUGUAUAUUUUGGAUACAGUCCUUUAAUGUAUGUCUCUUGCAGAUAUAUUUUUUUCUCAGCUUGUGGCCUAUCUUUUCAUUUUCUUCACUGUGUCUUUUGCAGACCAGAAGUUUUAAAAUCACUUCCAGCUUGUCAAUUAGUUCUUUCAUAAAUAAUGAAUUUGAUGUAUCUAAAAGUCAUUGCCAAACCCAAGGUCAUCUAGGUUCUCUUCUGUGUUAUCUUCUAGGAGUUUUAUAGCUUUUUGCAUUUUGUACUUAUGUCUAUGAUCCACUUUGAAUUAAUGUUUGUGGAUGGUGUAAGAUCUGUGUCUAGAUUCAUUCUUUUAUAGGAUGUCAGUUGUUCCAGCACUGUUUACUGAAAAGACUAGCUUUGUUUCAUUUUAUUGCCUUUGUUCUUUUGUCAAAGACCAGUUCACUAUAUUUAUGUGGAUAUGUUUUUGGACCUCUAUUCUGUUCCAUUGAUCUGCUUUUUUGCCAAUACCACACUGUUUUUAGAGUAAGCUGUAGCUUUAGAAUAAGUCUUGAAGUCAGGUAGUGUCCAUCCUCCAAGUUUGUUCUCCUUCAGUAUUCUGUUGGCUAGUCUGGGUCGUUUGCCCCUUUUUAUAACCUUUAGAAUCAGUCCAUCAAGAUUCCCAAAAUAACUUGCUGGGAUUUUGAUUGGGAUUGCGUUAAAUCUCCAGAUUAAGUUGGGAAGAAUCUUGAUAGCUUGACAAUAUGGAGUCUUCCUAUCCAGGGACAUGAACUGUUUUCCUACUUACUUAGUUUUUUUUAUUCCUCUUAUCAAAGUUUCACAGUUUUCCUCAUACAGAUGUUUUGCAUAUUUUGUGAGAUUUAUUCUUAAGGUAUUCCUUUGUUUUUUCAAGCGCUCUACUAUCAAUGGCGUUAUGAUUUUAAUUUCAAGUCCCACUUGUUCAUUGCUGUUAGGUAGGAAAGUGAUUGGCUUUGCAUAUCAAUCUUGUAGGCUGCCUCCUUGCUAUUAGCAUAAGCAGUCAUUAGUUUCAGGAGUUUUUCCCUUGGUCAGUUCUCUCAGAUUUUCUCAUAGUCAGUUGUGUCAUCUGCAAACAAAGACAACUUCAUUUCUUUCUUCUCCUCUGUGUACCUUAUAUGUCAUUUUCUUGUUUAUUGCAUUAGCUAGGACUUUUAGUGUGACGUUGCAAAGGAGCGUUGAGAGGUGAUGCCCGUGCCUCGUUCCUGGUCUUAGUGGGGAAAGUUUUGAGUUUCUCACCAUUAGGAAUGGUGAUGUUAGCUGUAGGUAGAUUUGUAGAUAUUCUUUAUCAAGUUGGGGAAAGUUCUCAUCUAUCUCAGUUAUUUUUUUAUAGCUGAAUAAAAAGUAUUACAUCGAGUUCAUGUUCAGAGCUGGUUAAGGCACCAUCUCCAUGAGGUUUCCGUGCACCGUGCAGUCCAGAGGCUGUGGUCAUGGUGCUCCAGUUUCAGAUGAAGAACCGAACUGGAGAGAGGCCCCAGAGCCGCCCUGGAGUAUGAGGUGGAAAACACCAAGAGGCCUGCUUUUCCAGACCGUCUUUGAAGAGCUUUAUCUUCAGGGCUUGAGAAAUCUGCAGUUUCUGCUAAAAAGGCUUGGAAUCCUCCCUCUUAAAAGCAAACUGUGAGAAACCCAAGUCUCGUGAGGAUAACUGAGGCACUGAGCUCCCAGCCAGCAUCCAGCUUCCUGUACGUGAGUGAGCCAUCUUGAAUGUUUCAGCCUGCUCAGUCCCUAGGAUUGCAGCCUAGUGCAGUGGAGCCAACUCUCAGAAAAUAAAGAACUGGCAAGGACCUCCAGGACAGUGUUGAACAGAAGUGGCCAAAGAGGCAUCCUCUCAACUCACAGUCUCAGAAGGAAGGUUUUCAGUUACUGUGAUAUUUGGGUGAAGACUGCUCUUUUCCUUUUUUCAGAUUAUGGAAAUUCCCUUUUAUUUCUAAUUUGGCAAUAAUGUUUAAAUGAUACAUUUUUGCUAAAUUUUAUUACCUUCUUUUGAUUGCACAUUUGAGAUGAUGCUGUGGCUUUUUCCUUUAUUUUAGUAAUGGGUUGAAUUAUAUUCAUUGAUUUUCAAAUGUUAAACCAGCCUUGCCUUCCUGGUAUACAUCUAAUUUGGUUGCCAUGUAUUUCCUUUUUCUAUGUUGCUACACUCAGGUUUUUUUUUUUGUAUCUAUGUUUUAAAGAUAAAUUGACCUGUAGUUGCACAGGGCAGAGGAAGGUGCAGAGGUGGGACCCUGGCAGCCUCUGUGGAGCUGGUCACCUGCAGUCCUGGUGGGGUCCCCCAGCAUGUGGGGCUACACAUUCCUCUCUGAAUGUAGGCAAGCGGGAGGCUGAGUCUUUCUCUCCAAUGCCUGGAUGUGUGUGGAAGAGCCGGGCCUGGCCUGUUUAUGCCCCAGCAAGUGUCUGUGCACUCGGGCACUCACUCACUCUCUGUCCGUAUUCUCUUUGAAAUGGGUGGGUCAGUGCUUUGGCUUCAGAUAGAAUACUGACAAUGAAUAUGAAAGCAUGACAACAUUUGAAAUUUCCAACUAAUAAAAAUCAUGCCACAAACACAAACAGAUCUGCUGGCGAUGCAGACGUCCUGCAAUGUUGUGAGGCCAAGAGAGGUGGCUCUCCGGCUGGUGUGCUCGGUCAGUGGAGGCGUCAGCUCCUCAGGAAGCAACUGGACCCGGUCCUCUCCCAGCCUCCGGUCUCUGCCCUGCUCUUCAGGUCAUAUUGAGCAUGACAACAACUUCCCAAGUGAGGACAGGAAGAGGGGUCCACUGCCAGAAAUCAGCGCAAGGGAUACCUCGCUGGCUGGACAAGACCGAGAGGACUCCUGGGCCACGGCGCCACCCUCGCCUGACAACCAGAGGACCAACUCCCAUCUAGCUGCAACCCACAAAGUGGCUCCGGGCUGCAGGUCAGGGGCCCUGGGCUGCGCCUUUCACUGCGGAAGGAGUUUCUGCCGUUUGAGUUAUUUUCCCUUGUGUUAUAAAGGAAUUCUUCUGGGCCAGCACUAACAUUCCUUCCCCCCAUUUUGUAAACCGGCCCACAGGCCCCAGCUGUGGUCCUAAGGAGGGAAGAGAGUGGGAGACAGAACUCCACGGGCAUGGGGCAUCUGUGUCAGGGGUCCCGGAGGACGCAGAGACAGAAUUCGAACCUCUGCUCCAAAGGUUCUUAUUAAAUUUUAAGCUUGGCAGAAAAUUGACCAUUCUGGAAAUAAUAUGACCAGUGAUAAUGAUACUAAUUAAAAAAAAGUGUUCUAGGCUCAGAGCCAGACCAUGCGGGAAGUGUGGAGUCCGGAACUACAGGUAAUGGGGUCGUGGCGCGUUCUUUGGGAUGUGUCAAAACUUAAUGAAAAACAACAGAUAUUUCGUUGAGCCACUGCUGCAGGCGAACAGGGGAGAUGUGCAGAGGCAGCAGAUAGAGCCUUGUCUCCAGCACCAGCAGCACUGUGUGGGGCACAGACAAGGCCGCAGGAGGUGGACCACAGCGAGAGCCAAAGGUGGGGACAGUGGUCCCAGGGCAGCUCCCAUGGGACUGGAGAGCAGAAGCCGCCAAGGAGUGGUCGCAGAGCCUCUGACCCCUCCUCUCCAUGCACCUCUUAUCUGGGCUGGGCUAGGGAAGGGUGAGAGAAAAUCAGCUCCUUCCCGUUGCGUGUGUUCCCAGGAAGGCGACCAGAUGGCAGCCAGGCCCCAGUGACACUCAAACAUUCCAGCUCAUGCUUGGGAGGGAGGAGAAAGGCAGUGGCUAAACAGGACAAAUCCAACUGCUGCCUUCCGAGAUGGGGCCUGCCAGGCAGCGGGAAGGAGGGACGGAGGUUCACGUCCUCUCUGGACUCAGGCGCCCUCAUACUCACUACAGGAGGCUUGUCAGGACACCACGGCCUCUGGCCUUAGGUUCUUUUCUUUUGUUUUUUUAAUUUUACUGUAAGUUCUGGGGUACAUGGGCAGAAUGUGCAGGUUUGUUCCAUAGGUGUACAUGUGCCAUGGUGGUUUGCUGCACCCGUCAACCUGUCAUCUAGGUUUUACGCCCCGUAUUCAUUAGGUAUUUGUCCUAAUGCGCUCCCUCCCCUUCCCCCUUCAUCAAAAACCCGGCAGGCCCUGGUGUGUGAUGUUCCCCACCUUGUGUCCAUGUGUUCUCCCUGUUCAACUUCCACUUAUGAGUGAGAACAUGCAGUGUUUGCUUUUCUGUUCCUGUGUUAGCUUGCUGAGAAUGAUGGCUUUCAGCUUCAUUUAUGUCCCUGCAAAGGACAUGAUCUCAUCUUUUUUUUUUUAUGGCUGCAUAGUAUUCCAUGUGGCCUCAGGCUCCUGUUUCUCUGAGGCGACCACUGCCUGGGACUGGCAAGGCAAGGCAUGGGAAUUAAUUAGGCUUUCCAUCUGCUUUAGAUAGAGCAUAAAGGAGAAAAAUAAAAACAGUCUUCAUGGCCCGACCCUCUAAUGAAAUGUGCACCCAGCACACCUCUUCCUCAAGGUAUGCCGAGGUGUGCCUCCUCCACCUCUUCCUCAAGGUAUGCCGAGGUGUGCCUCCUCCACCUCUUCCUCAAGGUAUGCCGAGGUGUGCCUCCUCCACCUGUUCCUCAAGGUACGUCGAGGUGUGCCUCAUCUACCUCUUCCUCAAGGUAUGCUGGGGUGUGCUUCCUCUACCUCUUCCUCAGAGUAAAACUAGUUCCCCGGGGCGUGGACACCAUUAAUUCCAUGAGGCCCCUGCAGUGGCAUGGAUGGGCCAGGACGCUCGGGGCUGUGAAUCUCAGCUCUGCCGAGUGACCCUGGGUCUGUGACUAGACAUCUCUGAGCCUCAGCUUCCUCAUCUGUAAUACACGGAUAUAAGACCCUCAUCACAGGGCUGUGAGCAGGUCACUAGACACGCUUUCCCCAGCCUGUGAGCACACACUGUACCCAAGAGGACAGAUGAAGGAAGGGGCAUUGCCAUAUCAGUCCCACCAGCACUUAGGGAGCAGCCUGUUGUAUUAGCCCAUUUUCACUCUGCUGAUCAGGACAGACUGAGACGGGGCAGUUUACAAAAGAAAGAGGUUUAAUGGAACUUACAGUUGCACCUGACUUGGGAGGCCUCACAAUCAUGGCAGAGGGCAAGGAGGAGAAGUCCCAUCUUACACGGCAGCAGGCAAAGACAGAAUGACAAAGAUGCAAUAGCGGAAGCCCCUGAUAGAACCAUCAGAUCUCAGGAGACGUAUUUGCUCCCUCCAGACAGUGCGGGGGAAACUCCCCCCAUGAUUCAAGUGUCCCCACCAGGCCACUCCCACAACAUGGGAGGGAGUCACAAGAGUACAAUUCCAGAAGAGCCUGGGUGGGGACACAGCCCAAACCAUGUCACCUAUCCGGCGCUCAGCCCUGAGCUAGGCUUGGAUAAAUUAUGUUUAUUUCCACACAAGGAGUUUAUGAUCCUAUUUUAGGAUGGGAAUACUCUAUCAUGCAGUCAGUUCAUAAAUACUUAAUAUACAUAUAAUUCCAGAGUAAAUUAUUUAGUGCAAAAGAUAAAUUCUGCAGGAGCGUGGGGAAAGGGAGAUAGACGAGGAGUCAGAGUAUAGCGACCAUGCUAAAGAUGGCUAACUUUUUACGGGCUUCUCAGCUGAUCACUCAGCAUUAGGCUCAGCUGCAGGUAGCAGAAAUCCCAUCGAAGACCAUCUUCAGCUGGAUAAAGGUUGCUAUCUCUCUUACGUAGACUAAACCCGGAGGUAGGCAGUCUGGGGUUGGCUUGCUGCUCUUCACCUCACUCCCACCGCUGGUUAUCAGGGAUCCAGACUUUUUCUGUCUUUCUGCUCCACAGUCUUCAAUGUGUAGCUUCUGGCCCCCACGUUUCCUCAUGGUUGCAAAAUGGCUGCUGCAGCUGUAUCCAUCGUGUCUGCAUUCCAUCCAGCCGAAUCUGCCCCUUCAAGUGGCUUUCCUGGGAGCCCCACCCAACAGCUUUCUAUUGCCAAGGAGCCAGGAAAUUUAGUUUCAUAAGAAGGACACCUUAGUGUUUUUAACGUAUAGGUGUUUUGUGACUGAAGGAGAAGAGUAGCUAUUGCGUACACGGUAGAGAGCCCCUGAGGGUGAGUACCUUCUCCCUCGUUCCACCUGCCCUGUCUCCUCUUUCUCUCCACUCCACCCUCUUUCCACUAUCCCAGACUCAUCUUAGACCGGCCCCCUGCGGGACGCCUCGGUUCCGUGUGUGUUGUAUGCUUCCACACGGCAGCCCCUUUACCUGGACAGUCUGUUUGUCUAGCUAGACUGCUUCAUUUGCCGUGGUGUAUCCAGAGCUGAGUGCAGGGCACGCAGCAAGGUUUCACCAGGACCACAGGGGAUGAAGGUUCAGCGCAGCGUGCAUUACCUGUUCUAUGCAGGUGGCCUCGGGCGCAAGCACCCAGGUGAGGUGGAGGCAGGAGGACAAGUGAACCAGUGGCCAGGUCAGACCUCUGUGAACGAUCACUACUUCACUGAAGUCCUUUUGGUCAUUGGGUUUUAUUCUAAACACUGAUUUGGCCCAGCCCCCUCUUCACUGAUCAUUAUUCCGUUGGUGUGAUUAUUGUCUUCUGCUUAACAAAAGGACAGUUUUGACUAGGGAGCAUCUUCCCAGACUAUGUCAGCUGGCUGGAGAGGCCAAGGUCUGUGUUAAAGAAACACGGUGGAGACGGAGGAGAGCCCAGCCGGUAAACACCUGAGGAGAUGACCCAGGUGGGCGUGAGGAGCAGCCAUCAGGGACUUCUCUUCUCAUUAGGAAAUACCUAUUGCUUAGGAGAAUGUUAUCUGUUUGUUGGUGGGGGUCAGGGGGCAGGGGUGGAUCAAGAAAACAGAAAGUACAAAAAGGCAAAAAUUGGGCUGGGCGUGGUGGCUCACACCUGUAAUCCCAGCACUCUGGGAGGCUGAGGCUGGCAGAUCACCUGAGGUCAGGAGUUCAAGACCAGCCUGACCAACAUGGAGAAACCCAGUAUCUACUAAAAUCACAAAAUUAGCCAGGGCUGGUGGUGCAUGCAUGUCAUCUCAGCUACUUGGGAGGCUGAGACAGGAGAACUGCUCGAACCCAGGGGGUGGAGGUUGUGGUGAGCCGAAAUCGCACCAUUGCACUCCAGCCUGGGCGAUAAGAAUGAAACUCUGUCUCAAAAAGAAAAAAGGCAAACAUUUAUUCCAUCUCAUCAUCUGGAAAUCACUACCAUUGUUUUAGACUCUUGUUUUAGGUUGAGGGGUACAUGUGUUGGCUGGUUGUAUAGGUACACUCCUGUUUGGGGUUUGUCAUAUAGAUUAUUUUAUCACCCAGGUACUAAGCCUAGUACCCAGUAGUUAUUUUCUCUGCUUCUCUCCCUCCUCCCGCGCUCCACUCUCUGAUGGGCCCCAGUGGCUGUUGUUCCCCUCUAUGUGUCCAUGAGUUCUUAUCCUUUACCUUCCACUUAUCAGUGAGAACAUGUGGGAUUUGGUUUCCUGCUCCUGCUAAGGAUAAUGCCCUCCAGCUCUGUCCAUGUUCCUGCAGAAGACGAGAUCUUGUUCCCCACUGCGGCUGCAGAGUGCUCCAUGGUGUGUGUGGACCACAUCUGUUGAAGUCCAGUCUGCCACUGAUGGUGUUUAGGUGGAUUCCAUGUCUUUGCUAUUGAGAAUGGCACGGCUGUGAACGCACGUGUGUCCGUGUCUUUAUGGCACAAUGAUUUCUAUUCCUUUGGGUCUAUAUCCGGUUACGGUAUUGCUGGGCUGAAUGGGAGUUCGGUUAUAGGUCUUGAGGAAUCACCAGCCUUCUUGGAAAUCACUACUGCUAAUGUUUCAUAAACGUAACUUUAGAGCUUUCACAAUGGGUAUAUUCUCCCAGAGGAGUAGAUGGAAGUGAUUUCACACACAUGAAAUACAUCAUGUAUUAGAUUUCAUACUGCUUGUAUUUAACUCAAGAGAAUGAAUCUGAAACUGAACGUGAAGGAAAUGGCUGAAUGAAGAUGCUUUUUUUUUCCCAUAAGUGAUAUUAAUGGUUUUUCCUAAAAAUCUAAAAUUCAAAAAGUUAAGCUACAAAGUUGGGGUUAGGGUCAACUUCUCUCUUUUUUUAAAUUUUUAAUCUAACGUUAUAACUUAAAAAGCUCUGUUGGUUUCUUCCCCUUGAAUUUGCACAGUUCAUGUCUCCUACCCACUUUUCUUCCUCCACCACGACUGUUGUUGGCUAGACUAUUUUUACGGACUUGCAUUUUAUGUCAUCUACAUUCUGUUCUGUGCCACCAUUACCAUGUGUUUCAUCUGAGACCCUUCCAGAUUCCAAUACAUUGAGCAUUCUUUCCUUCCAGCUUCUUCAGGCCUGAAUUCUAACACGUUUAUGGUUCAAAUGCUGUACAGCUAAAUUUUUCUCAUCAAGUAUCUUCAUCAAGAAGGGCUCCUGGGUGCUGUGGUGAUGAGGAUACCCCUUAGCAGGUUCCAUGUACAGUUGACCCCUGAACAGCAGGGGUUUGAACUGCACGGAUCCACGGAUCCACAGAUUUUCUUCCGCCCCUGCCGCCCUCCUCUGCCUCCUCCUCCACAGCCUCCUCGGUGUGAAGACGAUGAGAAUGAAGACCUAAUGCCCAUCCAUCUCUGCUUAAAUAGUGAAUCUCUUUUCUCUUCCUCGUUGUUUCUCCUAAAAACGUUUUCUUUCCUCUAGUUCACUUGAUUAUAAGAACACAGUAUAUAAAGUAAAUAACAUACAAAUAGUUGUUUAUCGACCGUGUGUGUUAUCAGCAAGGCUUUUGGUCAAUGGGCUAUGAAGAGUUAUAUUUUUUAUUGAAUGGGGGGGUCGACACUGCUAGCACCCCCUUGAACGAGCUGUUCAAGGGUCCACCAUCACUCUCGGGUGCCUUUUCCCUCAGGAGGACCUGGCACCUGACCUGAAAUGGCUGGCAUAAGCGUAGCUGGGCAGGGGGAUGCCUCUGCCUCGGAGGUGGCUUUUCCCUGGCCCGGACACUUCGAUGACAUUUUAUCACCCCAGAGACUCAGUGACUCCAGGAAAAAAUGUCCCUUUAAUCUGCAGGUACAGACUUGGUUUGUUCAGAAAUAUCGUUCCAAUUUUGUAAAUAUAUCCUUCCUGUUCUUUUUAUUUCUGUUUCAGUUACGCCAGUUGUGCCUGUACUGGGCUCAUCUUCAUGUUUAAUCAGGUUGAAUCCUGUGAAAUUGUCAUUUUGACCACCUUUGGAAACCCAUAAAAAUGCAGAGAGAGGUGCUCAUUCCUGUGGUUCCAGUUAACAUUCCUCUCUUUGCCCGGUGUUUCCCGUUGCAUUCUCCGUGGAUGUCAGUAGGUCCUCCCUGCAUGUACCAGAUCAGGGCUAGCUGUGUUUACCCGGCUCCUUGUGGCUUCUGAUAAAAGGUAUUACUUCUCUAAUGAAGAAUUAGCAGCCUCAAUUCGUUUCUGUAUCUCUGCAACUUGGCUUUGCAUUUUACUCUGUUGUCUCAUUUUAUGUUUGAAUUCUUUUCUCAGUGACUUCUUACUCUUUAUUUUUAGCAAACUUUCACAUCAUUCUCUAUCGGAAGCAACUGUAGGUUUAAGCUUUGUAUUUGUCAUGCGACUUCUCUGUUUUUUCUCUCAGCUGUCCUCUGCCCAGGUCCUCCUGUGCCUGCCUGCCUCCCUCGCUUCCUUCCAGCCACCCUCCCUGCCUCCCUGCCUGCCUGCCUGCCUGCCUGCCUUCUUUUUGAGCUCCCUCAACAUGGGCAGCCCUGCGAGUCUUCUCUCCACCUAAACAGACUGCAGAGCUUCCCUUGGAGGGAUGGGUUCUGUGUCCUCCCUGCUCCGGUGGGGCUUGAAGGUACAGCUGGAAGCUCUCCUCUUCGUGCCAUUUUGUUAGUAGUCUGGGACCGUGGAGGAACUCCUACAAGUUCUGGGACCGUGGAGGAACUCCUGCCAGUUCUGGGACCCUGGAGGAACUCCUACAAGUUCUGGGACCGUGGAGGAACUCCUACAAGUUCUGGGACCGUGGAGGAACUCCUGCCAGUUCUGGGACCGUGGAGGAACUCCUACAAGUUCUGGGACCGUGGAGGAACUCCUGCCAGUUCUGGGACCGUGGAGGAACUCCUACCAGUUCUGGGACCGUGGAGGAACUCCUGCCAGUUCUGGGACCCUGGAGGAACUCCUACAAGUUCUGGGACCGUGGAGGAACUCCUGCCAGUUCUGGGACCGUGGAGGAACUCCUACAAGUUCUGGGACCGUGGAGGAACUCCUGCCAGUUCUGGGACCGUGGAGGAACUCUUGCAAGUUCAGGUUACAGCCAGUUCUGCAGGCAAUGCCCUGGGGUUUCCGUUUAUUGCCCCUAUUUAGAAUGGAGUUUGUUUUCUGCCAGAGACAAGGACCCCUGGGUGGGCUCCUCCCAUCCCGGUGGGAACUGAGAAAGAGGGGGAUGGGGCAGGGUGGGAGCUGCCCCGGGAUGUCCCACGGGAUCCCCGGUCCUGCAUGGGUCUUGUUCUCUUUCCCAUUUCUUUCCUCCUCCUCAUGUGUCUGCUCCUGUGGAAUAUUCCGCCCUGGAUAAGUGCGGCCAGUCGGUCAUCUCGUUUUCCUCUCCAGCUCCUCCUCCUGCUCAUCUCUGGGGCUCCUUGGAGGUGUAUUUGGGAAGAAGCUCAGAGUGAUGUCCACGGACCCUCGUCCCCAGGAUUCCGUUUCUCAGGGCAGGAGGCUGUGGAUUCCCACGCUUUUUCUUCCUGGACUUCACUAUUACAAGAUGAUGACACGAAGCUAGUCUCUAUUCCCUGGAUGGUACUACUGUGUUUCUAAACCAGUUUUCACUGACUGCUUAUUGUUCAGUUCUAUUAGGGUUUACGGGACGCUUCUGUGGUCUGGCUUUAUAUGGAGAAGGACCCUUAGUGUGUUUUAAAUAUAACUCAAAAUGUAAAAGUCAUUUCCACAAGGCUCAUUUUCACGGUGCUCAAUUCCUAGCCUUCCUCCCAGGAGACUUCCACUAGCAUCUGACACACAGGUCUCUGGCCCUGGAGACCCCUGCCUGGCCUCGGACAGACCCAGCCCUCCCUCUCUCUCAUUGUGUUCCCCUGAGUCACUGCAGAAUGUGCUGGGAAUCCAUGUCCUGAGAUGGGAGGGGCUGGCUGCAGUGGCCUCACCCUGUCCCAGCCUGUCCAAACCCAGGAUGGCCUUGCCCGCUUUAUCCCAGUGAGUCCUGGAACCCCCAGGUAUAAAACCCAAGGUGGGCUACUUUCUGGGGUUCUCAGCCAGAGUGCAAGUGGGGCACAGUCAGGUGAGACCUCUCUGCCCUGGCCACCUCCCUGAGCCUGGGGGACUGGCGGGCUAUGAGCCCUGGGCUCCCGCGGUUCCUCGAUGCCUACCUGUAAGUAGUCACCUGCUUCACAUAGCUCAUGUGGGCGGGGUCCUGGAUCCCUGGACUUGGGUCAGUAGUAAAAGUGCAGCCCAAGACGCAGUGGGCUGAAGUGCGGGCCAGAGAUUGGUAAGCCCGUCCACCCCUGCCCGUGUGGCUUCUGUGCCCUGCCCUCCAGGGCUCCUGCUGGUUUGCCACAUGCCUGGCCACCUCUGCCUCCUCUGCUGCCCCUUUGGGUUCUUCGACUUCUUGCGGUGGCUGUGGUCCAGGCCUCAGUCCUUGGGGCCUUUCUUUUCCCCUCUCUGUGGUCUUGUCAGGCUUGCGGGUUAAACCCCUGAAUGCAUUAAUGACCUUGAGGCCCUUCUGUUCUGGACCUGUCUUCUGAACCCCAUCUCAGACCCCCUGGUGGGAGGGCUCACAGGUGUUCCCUGCCUCCCCAGCCUGUGCCACCUGCCAUCUACUUCCCAGCCCUGGCAGUGUACCUGGCCUGGCAGAGUCAAGCCAGCUCUGAGGCACGGAGAGCCGUGAGUGCUGGCGGUGGUUGGAAGCCAGCAGGCAGUGGGGGCCAUGGGAGAGGGUUGGCUCUGCUGGCACCAACCCAGGACCUGCACCCAGCUUCCCUAUCCCAGCCUGUCCAGGGGAGGAACUUCCAACCCAGCAGACACCCUGGCCCCUUUCCUUCUCCACGCCCACAUCCAGCAUGUCAGGAAAUCCUGUCUCCCCGUUCACAGUUCAGACCCAGAGCCUGCUGCUGCUUCCAGCUUCCCCGCAGGUCCCAGCCAUCCUCAUUCCCCCUCUGUUAUGCAACGGGCUUGUAUUUCUCAGUCUCCCUGCUUAACCUCUGCUUAUUCUCAGGAAGGAGAUCCCCACAAUGACUCACUCUCUUUCAGGAUAACAGGCGGCUCCCCAGGCCCCACCUCUCCACGCUCACCUCCUUCUCCCUGGAAGGGUCCUCCUGGAAGCCUGUCUCCCCUCAGCCCCACUGCUCAGCUGUGGCUUCCGGAAUGCAGAUUCCAUGAAGGAAGGGCUUUGAUUCUCUUCAUUAACCGCCGUGGCCAGUGCCUAGUGGACAACACACAUUCACUGAACGGACACAUCUGUGCCAGUUGAGCAAAUUUCAGGUGGUGAGGACUUCAUUUCCUUGGCAGGGUCUCCUUGAAACACGGAGAAGGAGCUGGCUCUCGGGUGUGGGAGCUGCGUGCACACUCACCUACGGCGCAGGCUGCAUGCCUGCAGAAUGCACCAGGAAAGACCCAGCGAAGAAGCUGGGGUUGCCAUCACGCCUGAGUGGGGAAUGGAAACUUCUAGUGUCUGUGCCUGGCAAGCACUCGUGUCCAUGACUCCCAUUCAUUAUUCAUAAAAAGUGUGCAUUGCGAAGAUCUUCGGUGCACAUUUAUGUGACUCCAGCUGCAUGGAAGGUGCCAAGAUGUGAUGGCAAUUAGGAGGAGGUCAUUGCUCGCCCGCGCUGUCUCUGUGAUAAGCUUCCGUGAGAGGAGACAGGAAUACGGAAGAACCUGAAGUUGCCACGUGACCCCCGUACAGGAGUCCACACAGCUGGCUGGAGCCCCAGGGAAACAUUUGAUGGUGACAUUGCCCUCAGUGUUCCUGCUUGUGUUUUUCCUUUUCUUUUUAAAAAUACCCCCUCCCCUCUCCGCAGGACCUUCACUAGUGCAUCUGGGAGGUUAUGUGGAGGUUGGAGAGCUUUGGGUCAGGAUGACGAAUAUCUAGGGCUUAGCUCUGUGCCAGGCACCCAGCGGCACCCUGGACCUGAGAGCUGCCCCCCAGCUGGAGCCUUGUCAGGAGCUGGGGCUGGCCCAGGAGCCCUGCCCACUGGUUCCCAUGAGCGCUGUCUCUCCACAUGGAUGGGAGCGGCCGCCCUGGCCUCUGAGCUGUGCUGUAUGGCAGCUGCCCAGCUGGUUCAUAGGCUGUGCGGUAUGAUGCGUGAUGAGGUUCAGGACAGGACACCCCACCCUGAUAUUUUCAGCUAAGGAAUUUGAGAAAAGUGCAGAAGCGGGAAGCCACACUCACCUUCCUGCCUCCUCUCAUGAUUUAGGUCAUAAGAGCCAGGCAGGACUGUGGCUCUCCCCGGAAGCUGGUCUAGGAGCCCCCUGCCUGUGAGAGGUGGCCACCCUGUCUGGAGGAGCGGAGUGUCCUUAGCUCGAAAGCUGAAGGGCCUCCCGGUUUGCUGCCAACAGAUCACACCGCGUCAUUCAUUCUUUCUCACCCCAUUUUCACCAAACCUCCCGUGACACACACUCGGGUUUUCUCACCACCGCCCCGUUUUCGCCAAACCUCCUAUGAAACACACUCAGGCUCUCGCCUGUUUCUUUGGGUUGGCAUUUCCGUAUGAAGGCUCCUGCAUCGCAUAAAAUUUAAAUGAAGUAAAAUGUGCAGUUUCCUCUUGUCCAUCUGUCUCUCGUGAUAGAAGCCUCAGCCGUGAACCUAGGACGGGUGAGGAAAGGGGUCUUUCCCCUACUGAGCAAUUCUGCUGGAAGUGUUGCCUCCUUUCCUUUCUCCCCUGUGGCUGUUCCUCUUGGGACCCCUUCCUUGUCCCCUCUCCCUCCCUUCCCAGCCUGAAACUGACAAUGGAAAUUGCCUUGGGGUGGGUUGGAGGGUAGUGGGCCUUCCCUUCUGUGCCUCUCCUGCCCUUCUCCUUGCCCCCACUCCCGUGGGCCUGCAUCCUGCAGAGGUGCAAGGUUCCUGUGGGACGGGGGAGGUGUAAGUCGUUCACAGGCUGCUGGGUGGACGCCAGACACCCCCCUGCUUAGUCUAUUCCUGGACCUGGGCCACGGAAACACGCCACGGAAAACGUAUGGAAGUUACUGCCCUGGAAGGAAAGCAUCAUCAAAAUGAAAUUCAACAGGUGCCACCCGAGGAUGCUGGGCCUGGGAUGGCCCUCCCUGGAUGCAGCACUGCGCUGUGGAAUGUACCCGGGCCCUCCAUGGGUCCAGGGCAGCCUAGGGCAGUGUGGGUGGGAGCCUGGGGGUCUGGGGGCUCCAUGGAGCGGGAAUCCUGCCUUGGCCCCGGGAUCUUCCUGCGGCGGUUCAGGUAACAUUUUCUAGGCUGCAGGAAGAUUUCCGGGAGCUUCCCGGAGGGGGAUGCAACCCCGUUUGCGUCCUCGGUGAAUACGUAGAUGUUUCAUGAUUCUUGGUGGUUUCUGAAUCCGGGAAGUCGGUGCUGAGUCCUGCUGGUGCUCCUGCUGCCUUGCUGGGAUCACUAGGGGUGCCCAGCGGCCCUAGACCUCUCGCCUGGAGGGUAUUCAGGAAGGAGCCCAGUGCCAAGCAACUCCACCCUGUGGAUUCUGUUUCAGGUGAAACCUGCCCAUCUGGCCAACCUCGGCACCCUCCUCCUGCUUUGUCAGGACACAAACGCAGACCCUGGCCCUGCCUGUCAAGAAGUCUGCAGAGGCUCAGCCUCCCCCUGGGCAUUGUGGGGGCUCUUCCACCCUCCCCAUCACAGGCUAAGCUCUUUUCUUUUUGCCAUGGGGCAUCUUGAUAGCAUAUUUAGCAAAAUGCUGCAGCUGGCACAUGUGUGGCAUUUGAGCUGCUGCUUCUGAGCCAGCUUCCCAGGCCUCAGGUACACCGGAGUUCACUCAUCACACCAUCUCUGCAGCGACAGGUUACGUGGGAAUUGGGCAGGGCCAACUUUCCCCGGAUGACUGGGGUCCUUGAUGUGAUACCCCGCUCAGCAAACCCUGCCUUUCUUUCCCUUUGCAAUUCUUGAGACCAUUUUCUACUUGAAAAUAAAGCAACCUUAAGGCACCGUGUUCGUUUCCAUUUCAGAGAGUAGUUUUGCUCCUUUUUUCCUAUGAGAGAAAAACGUGAAGCCCCUUCCCUGCCACCGACUUUCCCUGUCUGCCCCGAUGCCAGCCUGCCUGUGUCUUCACGGGAAUCUCCGUGGGCGAGGAGCUGUUUAUGCCUUCCUGGACGGACAUGCAGGCUGUGCUGUGUCUUGAGAGGCACCGAGGCCUCACCACGGCUUCAGCCAUGGGCGUCGAUUUCUCCCCUAAAGCUCUGGAGGACACUCUCCGGACUGUUCUCCUGGCUCCUCCAGCUCAGACUGCAGCCCUGUCCCAACACCACCUAGACGGGAGCAGAGCCAGCGGCUGCGGUUACAGGCUCAGAGGAUGUGUUCUUAGAGCUGGAGGCCCUGGGUCAAAGCGGGUGGCAGCUUCCCCGCCCUGUACCUACCCAGCUGCCUUCUAGAAGCUGGGCUGGUCCCACGGACGGAGAAUUCUGCUUCACUCAUCAGCAGCGGCACAAAGCUUCAUCAUGUGAAAUGCUUCCUCCGUGGCUGUGGAAGAAACGGGUUUUCAUUUUGACUCCGGUUGCAUGGAGUUCACGUGCUGUGGUGGGUGUCUGUCUCCUCCAGCUGCAGGCACCAGCCUGGGGGGCUCGGGGGGCCCAAUUCUGGUGUUGAUAUUCAUGGGGACAUAUGUGGACAGGGCCCAGGCGAGGUUUGCUGGUCCCUGAGAAAACAGCCCAAGAGGACCCAUCCCUUCCUCUUCCACUGGCCAAGGUCAGAUCUGAAUGUGGCCAAGGGACCGUCGCAGUCUCUCUCCACCCAGAGGCCUGGCUGCCUGAGCUGUUCAGAGCCUCUGAAUAACCAAGCCUGAGCGUGCCCUGCUGGGUCUGCACUUCUGUUCUUGAAGGCAAUGCACCACGUGCUGCUCCCGCCACCAGCCGUGUGCUUGUGUGUUCUCCAUGGCUGGCGCCUCCUGCGCACCGUGCUGUGGCCUGGCACUCCUCCCGUGUGUGUUCUCCAUGGCUGGGACCUCCCACGUGCCGUGCUGUGGCCUGGCACUCCUCCCGUGUGUGUUCUCCAUGGCUGGUGCCUCCUGCACCAUGCUGUGGCCUGGCACUCCACCCGUGUGUGUUCUCCGUGGCUGGUGCCUCAUGCAUGCUGUGCUGUGGCCUGGCAUUCCUCCUGUGUGUGUCCUCCGUGGCUGGUGCCUCCUGCACCAUGCUGUGGCCUGGCACUCCACCCGUGUGUGUUCUCCGUGGCUGGUGCCUCAUGCAUGCUGUGCUGUGGCCUGGCAUUCCUCCCGUGUGUGUCCUCCGUGGCUGGUCCUCCCGUGCGCCGUGCUGUGACCUGACACUCCUCCUGUGUGUUCCUCCAUGGCUGGUGCCUCAUGCGUGCUGUGCUGUGGCCCGGCACUCCUCCCAUGUGUGUUCUCCAUGGCUGGCGCAUCCUGUGCAUGGUGCUGUGGCCCAGCACUCCUCCCGUGUAUGUUCUCCGUGGCUGGCACCUCGUGCGCCCUGCUGUGGCCUGGCACUCCUCCCGUGUGUUUCUCCGUGGCUGGUGCCUCAUGCGUGCUGUGCUGUGGCCCGUCACUCCUCCCGUGUGUUUCUCCGUGGCUGGUGCCUCAUGCGUGCUGUGCUGUGGCCCAGCACUCCUCCCAUGUGUGUUCUCCAUGGCUGGCGCGUCCUGUGCAUGGUGCUGUGGCCCAGCACUCCUCCUGUGUAUGUUCUCCGUGGCUGGUGCCUCAUGCGCCCUGCUGUGGCCUGGCACUCCUCCCGUGUGUGUUCUCUGUGGCUGGCGCAUCCCAUGCUCUAUACUGUGGCCUGGCACUCCUCCUCCUGCUGCUCGGCAGCUGCGGGCUGCUCUCCAGUGUCGUGCGACGGCCUUCUGAAAAAUGGAACCAACAAACUCAGUCACCUGGAAGCUGCAAAGUGUG